GUAGGUGGCAAGCGUUGUCCGGAAUUAUUGGGCGUAAAGCGCGCGCAGGCGGUUCUUUAAGUCUGAUGUGAAAGCCCACGGCUCAACCGUGGGGGGGUCAUUGGAAACUGGAGAACUUGAGUACAGAAGAGGAAAGCGGAAUUCCACGUGUAGCGGUGAAAUGCGUAGAGAUGUGGAGGAACACCAGUGGCGAAGGCGGCUUUCUGGUCUGUAACUGACGCUGAGGCGCGAAAGCGUGGGGAGCAAACGGGGGAUUAGAUACCCUGGUAGUCCACGCCGUAAACGAUGAGUGCUAAGUGUUAGGGGGUUUCCCGCCCCUUAGUGCUGCAGCUAACGCAUUAAGCACUCCGCCUGGGGAGUACGGCCGCAAGGCUG
rnacentral:rRNA from 1 species